UGGGGAAUAUUGGACAAUGGGGGAAACCCUGAUCCAGCCAUGCCGCGUGAGUGACGAAGGUCUUCGGAUUGUAAAACUCUUUUAGCAGGGAAGAUAAUGACGGUACCUGCAGAAUAAGCCCCGGCUAACUUCGUGCCAGCAGCCGCGGUAAUACGAAGGGGGCUAGCGUUGUUCGGAAUUACUGGGCGUAAAGCGCGCGUAGGCGGACUCUCAAGUCAGGGGUGAAAUCCCGAGGCUCAACCUCGGAACUGCCUUUGAUACUGUGAGUCUUGAGCUCGGAAGAGGUGGGUGGAAUUCCUAGUGUAGAGGUGAAAUUCGUAGAUAUUAGGAAGAACACCAGUGGCGAAGGCGGCCCACUGGUCCGAUGCUGACGCUGAGGUGCGAAAGCGUGGGGAGCAAACAGGAUUAGAUACCCAAGUAGUCCCUGAGCGGGCUGGCAAGGCGCAU
rnacentral:rRNA from 1 species